CUCAGCUGUGAAAAAUCCACCUGCCCGAGCGGUGUAGUUAUGCUGAUCCAACCACUGGUGUAGACAGUGUUAGGGCGCCAGAAGGAUUCUUCCGUCGGUUUAGCUACUGCCUCUUGGGGGUGGAUUAACUACAGCACUGGGAGAAUUUGCCCUCCCGUUGCUGCAGCGAGUGUCUACACUGAAAGGCUACAGCUGCGCCUCCCGUAGUGUUUUACAUGUAGCCAAGCCCUGACCCUUCCAGACAGGUGUCCCAGCUUGAACUGACGCCAGCAGGAGAUGCAUAGCCGACUCGUGCCUCCCCGUACGGCAGGGACACAAUCUAAAGGGGAAGACCCGUGACCGCCUCACGCCUCCUCUGCCCAGUGACACAACCCCCCUCCCCCCAUCCUGCACAGACAGCCAACAGCGCACAGCUGGGAAAAGACGCAACGCUCCAUCAGUCGACUGCUCAUAAACACGCCGAGUAGCAAUGCUGAGGAGACUGGUUUGAAGCAGCCUGGCUGAGAGCGAAGGCGCACAAGAAGGCAGUGAAGUGAAAAGGUUAAGUGCCUCAGAAUCCCUCACAGACCAGGACCUCAGUUUCCCCGGCGCUGUAUAAGCACAGAACAAAAAGACAGACCCUGCCCAAAAGAGCUGAACAAUCUA